AUAUAAUAUACACCCUAUUCGUGGUUUUUCUUUUCUUUCUUUUCAUUUCUCUGUUUUUAAUAGACAUACAAGGUAUGAUAACUCAAGCCACAAACGUAAGUCUUUGUGACUUACACAGGAGUGUACAUGAAUGCGUGCAUAGCACCACUUAGUGGUAAAAGUUUAAAAGCACUUUUUUUUUGGUCAGUCAU